UUAUAUGUGCAGUUGAAGAUGGCGCUGCAUUUGAACUGAUGUAAGGAUUACAUUGUUCAAUUAAAUGGAACCGCUUGAAACGGUCGUACUGCCUACUGGAUCACUGACUUGAUUAGAUCG